rnacentral:rRNA from 1 species
UGGGGAAUUUUGGACAAUGGGCGAAAGCCUGAUCCAGCAAUGCCGCGUGUGUGAAGAAGGCCUUCAGGUUGUAAAGCACUUUUGUCCGGAAAGAAAUCCUUGGCUCUAAUACAGUCGGGGGAUGACGGUACCGGAAGAAUAAGCACCGGCUAACUACGUGCCAGCAGCCGCGGUAAUACGUAGGGUGCAAGCGUUAAUCGGAAUUACUGGGCGUAAAGCGUGCGCAGGCGGUUUGCUAAGACCGAUGUGAAAUCCCCGGGCUCAACCUGGGAACUGCAUUGGUGACUGGCAGGCUAGAGUAUGGCAGAGGGGGGUAGAAUUCCACGUGUAGCAGUGAAAUGCGUAGAGAUGUGGAGGAAUACCGAUGGCGAAGGCAGCCCCCUGGGCCAAUACUGACGCUCAUGCACGAAAGCGUGGGGAGCAAACAGGAUUAGAUACCCUGGUAGUCCACGCCCUAAACGAUGUCAACUAGUUGUUGGGGAUUCAUUUCCUUAGUAACGUAGCUAACGCGUGAAGUUGACCGCCUGGGGAGUACGGUCGCAAGAUUAAAACUCAAAGGAAUUGACGGGGUCAUAGCUG